GGGUAGGGGUGAAAUGCCAAUCGAACUUGGAGAUAGCUGGUUCUCCCCGAAAUAGCUUUAGGGCUAGCCUCGGGUUUAAGAGUCUUGGAGGUAGAGCACUGAUUGGGCUAGGGGCCCCAAACGGGUUACCGAACCCAGUCAAACUCCGAAUGCCAAUGACUUAUGCCCGGGAGUCAGACUGCGAGUGAUAAGAUCCGUGGUCGAGAGGGGAACAGCCCAGACCGCCAGCUAAGG
rnacentral:rRNA from 1 species